AUAUUAUGAGGUAGUAGGUUAUGCAGUUUUGCGACAUUAUUCUCGUUGCGUUGGAGAUAACUGUGUAGCCUACUGACUCUAAUGU
rfam:Ciona intestinalis ciona0138, whole genome shotgun sequence.